GUGUGCUGCUUUCUCCAUUCCCCCACCUUUCCAACCUUCUCCUAUGUCAAUCUCGUCGGCGACGAGCCAGGCGUCGCGGGACAUGGGCCAGCGGCUAGAGGGGUGCACGCAUGAGGGCGUAGAAAUCCCAGCUCGCCGCCUCCAGCACCACCUAGUGACCACCGCUGCGCCAUGUCGUGACCUAGAUCGGGAGAUCUCGAUUCUGCCCCUGUGGACCGUCGCACGAUGGUGGAGACAUCGGGCGGCUGGAGGCUCCACCUCACGGCUAGCUGAGGACCGCGGCCGCUUCCUCGCGGCAACAAGACCCUGCUCGUCGUCGUGUGAGUCGCCGGAUUCGCGCUGGUAUUCCUGUGGCCCAGCGCCUCCAUGUUCGUCGGGGCCUAGGGCGGGAUCCCCAGCCUCCUCUCGUUGCCGCCGUCGCCGUCGCGCCUGGUUCCGCCCUGCGCCUGGAUUCCUACAACCUGAAGGAUUUCGGCGACGGCGGCGGGAACGGGCGGGCGGUGAACUCCCAAGCGUUCGAGCGCGUUGUCGAGGCCAUGGCGGGCUAGGGCAGGGGCAGUCUUGCCGCUCAGAUGGUGGCUCACGGGGCCGUUCAACUUGACCAGCCACGUGAUGAUGUUCCUCGCCGAAGGAACGGAGAUUCUCGCAUCGCGUUGACACUGGUGGCUCAAGAACGGCAGCCGGACCUGGAGGAGAUGGUCCCUGGUGGAGCAUCUGCUUUUACCAGAUCAAGCGCGGCAUCCUGUACCUAGAAGCGGUGGAUCCCACAUAGUGCAACCGGUAUCAUCUCGCUCACAGUGGUGGAGGAGGACAUGGCGCCUAGCUCGAGCCGGUGGCAGUGAGCACGACGCAUAGCUUGAGCCGAUCACGGUGCCUCUGACGCCCAAUGGGCGACAAAACCAAGAUUUUCUUUAACUUUUAUGUGUCUUUGGUCUUCUGAACAAGGGACUGAAAUCAGUGGCCAUUGAAAAAAAAUGAAGCAUCAGUUUGUGGAAGUACUUGCAAGUGGAACCAUGUUUGUGCAUAGAUGCUAAGUACUCCAUCCUAUCGCAUUUAAUCGACGCGGAGCUUGCCUAUGUGUACAUAUGUAUCUUAUUGUGCCGGCGUCGAUUAAUACCGAACGGAGGUAUUAGAUGUAGAUGUUGAGUUUCCAGCUGGUAUGUACAUUCAAAUUGACAAACCUGGUAUAUGUGAAGUUGUAUCUAUGAUACAACGAUGUUGUC